rnacentral:tRNA from 1 species
GCACUCGUAGCUCAAUUGGAUAGAGCGUCGGCCUCCGGAGCCGAAGGUUUCGGGUUCAAAUCCCGACGAGUGCA